UACGUAGGUGGCGAACGUUGUCCGGAAUUACUGGGCGUAAAGCGCACGUAGGCGGACAUUUAAGUCAGGGGUGAAAUCCCAGAGCUCAACUCUGGAACUGCCUUUGAUACUGGGUGUCUUGAGUAUGGAAGAGGUGAGUGGAAUUCCGAGUGUAGAGGUGAAAUUCGUAGAUAUUCGGAGGAACACCAGUGGCGAAGGCGGCUCACUGGUCCGGUACUGACGCUGAGGUGCGAAAGCGUGGGGAGCAAACAGG
rnacentral:rRNA from 1 species